rnacentral:rRNA from 1 species
UACGUAGGGGCCGAGCGUUGUCCGGAUUUACUGGGCGUAAAGAGCGCGCAGGCGGUCGUGCAAGUCGCGUGUGAAAGCCCCCGGCUCAACUGGGGAGGGUCACGCGAUACUGCUCGACUCGAAGGCAGGAGAGGGAAGUGGAAUUCCCGGUGUAGUGGUGAAAUGCGUAGAUAUCGGGAGGAACACCAGUGGCGAAGGCGACUUCCUGGCCUGUUCUUGACGCUGAGGCGCGAAAGCUAGGGUAGCAAACGGG